rnacentral:lncRNA from 1 species
UUUGAUUAUAUGCACAUCAUGCAUGAGCAAAUUCUAGGGGUCAAACAUAGAGUAACUCAUAAUAUAGCUUUAGUAGCUGAACAUUUUUUCAAUUGUCUUUCAGAAAGUUCAGGAAGAGGCGAUUCUGUUACGGAGUCCAGCCAUGGAAAGAAAAAGGGAAUGGUUCUUCCAUUUGAACCACAUUCUAUCACUUUUGAUGAUAUUGUAUACUCUGUUGACAUGCCAGUGGUAGGUCACACACAAAAGUGAUAUAUUCAGCAUUAAGAUUUCUAGUUCGAUUCUUAAUUCAAUCUAUAAAUAAUUUGAACACUAACUCUUUUGAUUUCUCAACUGGCAGGAAAUGAAGGAGCAAGGUGUUCAAGAGGACAGAUUAGUGCUUUUGAAGGGUGUGAGCGGCGCAUUUAGGCCCAGUGUUCUCACAGCUUUAAUGGGUGUAAGUGGAGCUGGUAAGACAACAUUGAUGGAUGUUCUGGCCGGUAGGAAAACCGGUGGAUAUAUUGAUGGAAGCAUCAAGGUUUCUGGAUACCCUAAAAAGCAAGAAACGUUUGCUAGAGUCUCUGGCUACUGUGAACAGAAUGAUAUCCAUUCACCUCAUGUUACAGUUUAUGAGUCCUUGCUUUACUCAGCGUGGCUUCGUUUAGCUUCAGGAGUUGAUUCCAAAACCAGAAAGGUUAGUUAAUACUUGCAGCAUAGGCACUACGCCCCUUUACGUUUCCUUUCCCCUAAUAAAAAGUUUAAUCUAUUAAAGGAACUAAGCUUUAUUCUAACUUUAUGAACACUAAAAAUGGUUGUAGAUGUUCAUUGAGGAAGUCAUGGACCUGGUGGAGCUGAACUCAUUGAGGAACUCCUUGGUUGGUUUGCCUGGUGUGAGUGGUCUCUCCACCGAGCAACGCAAGAGGCUGACUAUUGCAGUCGAACUAGUAGCUAAUCCAUCCAUUAUUUUCAUGGAUGAGCCUACUUCUGGUUUAGAUGCAAGAGCAGCUGCAAUCGUUAUGAGAACUGUAAGGAACACAGUGGACACUGGAAGAACUGUUGUGUGUACCAUCCAUCAGCCUAGCAUUGACAUUUUUGAAGCAUUUGAUGAGGUGUGUAGUGAAUGGUGCUAAUAAAUAAAUUGAUUACGAAGGAAGCUUACCUUUUAUGGUUUUUUUUCCCUCUCCAUUAGACUUGAAUCUGACAUUAUUCAUUUGCAAUUUUAGCUAUUCCUCAUGAAGCGUGGAGGACAAGAAAUAUACGUUGGACCAUUGGGCCGCCAUUCUACUCAUUUGAUCAAGUAUUUCGAGGUAGUUUCCUACUUAGGAUUACUAUUUACUUAAGUUCUUCAUGAUUGUAAUUAGUUACUAAAGUUUUCGAAUAACUUUUAUUGUCCAGAGCAUUGAAGGGGUGAGUAAAAUCAAAGACGGAUAUAACCCAGCAACAUGGAUGUUGGAAGUUACAACUACAGCACAAGAACAUAAUUUGGGUGUUGACUUUACUGACUACUACAAAAAUUCUGAUCUAUAUAGGUAAAACUAAUGCAUAUAGAUAUGAUUUUAUAAACAAACUUUAGUAGAUACUGUUGUCAUGUUUGUUUUUUGGAUAUGCAACAUGCUUAACAUGUUUUGUAUGGCUUUUCAGGAGAAACAAGCAACUUAUACAAGAACUAGGCCAACCUGCUCCUGGUUCAAAAGAUCUUCAUUUCCCUACGCAAUUCUCGCAGUCUUUCUUGGUCCAAUGCCAAGCUUGCUUAUGGAAACAACGUUGGUCAUAUUGGCGUAAUCCACCAUACACUGCUGUGAGGUUUUUCUUCACUACGUUCAUAGCCAUAAUGUUUGGAACAAUGUUCUGGGACCUUGGUGGCAAACAGUAAGUCAAUCUUCUAUUUUUAAUUAGAAAAAUAAGUUCAUACUAUUCACCAAACGAUAUAAUUUUUCAUCUCUCUAUUUAUUUACACUGGAAUUCCGAUUCCUAUUGGUGACUUGCAGCUCAAGUAGACAAGACCUGUUGAAUGCUGUUGGUUCAAUGUAUACUGCUGUUCUCUUUCUUGGAGUACAAAAUUCUUCUUCUGUGCAGCCAGUGGUUGCAGUUGAAAGAACUGUAUUUUAUAGAGAAAAAGCUGCUGGAAUGUAUUCUGCCUUACCCUAUGCAUUUUCACAGGUAACUAUAAUCAUUGUUUAAUCUACCGACAUUAUUAUUACUUUAGUUUGCAAAUUAGAAAUUCUCAUGUUAACACCUCGAUUUUUGUCACAGAUUUUGGUAGAGUUACCUUACGUCUUUGCUCAAGCCGUGACUUAUGGUGUUAUAGUCUAUGCCAUGAUCGGAUUUGACUGGACCGCAGAGAAAUUCUUUUGGUAUCUAUUUUUCAUGUACUUCACAUUGCUCUACUUCACCUUCUAUGGUAUGAUGGCUGUGGCAGUGACACCAAAUCACCAUGUUGCUUCUAUUGUGGCUGCUGCAUUUUAUGCAAUUUGGAACCUCUUUUCAGGAUUUGUCGUCCCGAGACCUGUAAGUAUAGAAUAUAUUGAGAAAAAAGUGUUUCAGUGGACCUAUAUUAUAUGUAUGCUAACCAUUUUUUUCCUUACCUUUUGAUAACAGAGCAUUCCAAUAUGGUGGAGAUGGUACUAUUGGGCUUGUCCAGUUGCUUGGACCAUCUAUGGAUUGGUUGCAUCUCAAUUUGGAGAUAUAACUACUGUUAUGCAGGAGGAACAUAAAGAUGUGAAAACUUUCCUUGAUGACUUUUUUGGUAUCAAACAUGAUUUCAUAGGAGAGUGUGCAGUUGUGGUCGGUGGAAUCGCAGUUGCCUUUGCAGUUAUUUUUGCUGUUGCAAUCAAAACCUUCAACUUCCAAAAGAGAUAAAUUGUACUCUUUCUCCAACAAGAAGGAUUCUUUGUAUUUUUAAUUUCUCCCUCCCAAUUUUUCCUAGUUUGUAUAAUACUUGUAUCUAUAGUCCAUGCAGUAGUUGCUUAGGAAAUUUACUUCCGCUUGCUUGAUACAAUUUGAAGCUUCCUUUAUAAAUGUACAAGCAUUUGAAUUUGAAUAAGAUAAUACUUUUGUAUUGUUAUUUUGAUAGUCAAUGAAAGAUAAUGUAUUUUGAGGCCAGCCUUUUAUAAUCAAUUCUGAGUUCUUAAUUCUCAAUUCCUUAUCUUUAUAACUUAUAUUCUUCCACUUAAUGCUGCUGAAUUUGCAUGCAAGAAGCUAUCUGUCAAAUCUGCUAUGUGAACCAAGUCUUGAAUAUUAACUUUAACCUCUGCAAUAUAAAGUGUACUGUGUAUGCAGAGUUCUUCCUUAAUCAAGAUUUUUCAUAAUGGAGGCAUGUUGUUGGAAAGGUUGGUAUCAUAUAUUAAAUUGUUUUGGAUUUUGGGUGGUUGAUUUGAAGAUGUAUGUGAGUUGUAAUGAAGGCAUGUUGCUGGAAUGAGUUGGCAAUGUAAUAGUGGUUGUGAUGGGUUGAUUAUCUGUCCUUAUACUUUGCAAAUGUUUAGAUAUUUUUUUUGGAUGGUUGUGCUGAUGAGAAAUGAUUAGAUGCUUCUCUUGUUGUUUUUACUAUCUUAUGCAGAAGUUGUAUUAUGUUUCUUGUAAUUUGGAUUUGGACUUGUAUGGUACUCCAUGUGCAAACUCCAAUGUUAUUUUUAUGUAUGCCACUCUUUCUAACACUUUUUCAUAAUUCAACUAACAUGCAAGAUAAUAAUAAUAAUAAUCUAUAUUCCAGUACAAUAAUAAUAAUAAUAUCUAAAAUUAAAAUAUUGCCAAUCAAUUAUCCGUUGUCUAAAAGGUCUUAGAAAUCCAGUGAAAAGAAGUCUCAAAAAUUAUUUUUAAAAAUUUAAAAUCAAAACUUAGAAACAAAAAAAGAAUCUAAAAAAAAAAAAUAUAUUAUCCUAUUCUUGAGGAUUUGACCGAGUAAAAAAAAAAAUGAUCCUAUCGUAUCGUUGAUUUUGAUUUAUCUUUGCCUAUCUGUCCGAUUGUUAGCGCUUUUUUCUGAUCCUCAUCCGUAAAUUAAGUAAUGAGCAGUUGCAAGUGCCAUAUAUAUAUAUAUAUAUAUAAUAUUAAUCUGAAUUCAUAAUUUAAUAGAAAUUGAAAAGAGAAAUUUAUGUGAACAGUAACAUUAAUUCCAGAAGAAGAAGAAUGGUUGCAGCCAUCAUCUUUUAUGUCUACUGUAAUUAAUGUUACUGUUCAUCUAAAUUUUAUCGUUUAAUGAUUUUGGUAUCAGAGACUGAUAAUUAAGGUGUAGUACUUUAUGCUAUGAUUUGUUAUUAGUUUUUAAUUAUUUUCUUGGAAAUUAUAAUCCGGUUAUUUAUGGUUUUGCUUUCAGAGUUCUGAUUUUUGUUCGUGGUAGAUUGAGGUUUUGGACCACAUACCAAUUCAAUGAAGUACGAUCCAAAACUAUGAAAAUAAAUUUGUUCCAUACAAAUUAUUCUGUAACCAAUUGUAGUUCCUAUUUUAUAUAGGUAAAUUCAGAAGGAGUAUGAUCCUUUUUUCUAUUACCUAAAAAUGCUUUUAUAUAAUGAUAAUGAUUGAACCUUCACAGUUUUUUUUUAAAUAAGAUUGAACCUUUACAGUUGGUGAUGAUAUUUGAAAUUUAUUUUACUAUAUUUUAUGCUUAAAUUAAAGAAUCUUAAUCAUACGUUCCACAGCUAAGCACAUUUUCAUAUAUUCAUAGUUUUAAUAAAGUAAGCAUUCAAAUUUUCUUUUAUCAAGCAAGAAAGGGACCAAGGCCCUUCUUCUGUGCGAUUAAUCAAUACAUUAUAAUAAAACUAUGAUAAUUUGGCAAGUUUGCCACGUGUCAGCUAAAUAGAGUGUUAGAAAAAUAUCUAAGUUUCUAUUAAUAGAAAUAAUAUCUUAUGUGUCAAUUAAGAAGUUAAUGAUCCAUUAAAAAAUUAAGAAGAAUGAAUUAAAAAUAAAAAAUUAAGAAAGAAAAAAAUAAAAUUUCCAAUUACAUACUACCUUGUACGUGAUCUGUUGAGAAGUUAAUGGUCGACCAGUUAAAUAAGAAGAAUGAAUUAAAAAUAAAAGGCGAGUUAAUUGAUAGUUUUUUAAGGUAAUUAUUUUUAAACACUACUUUAUCAACCACUGUUUCAAAUUAAUUUAAUUAAAAAAUUUAUUUUAUUUUACUAAUUAUUUUCCAACUUUAUUUUUUAAUUCGUCGUCAUCCGUUAAUCUCAUCUGUACACAAUUUCUUCUUAAUUUUUUCUAGGCUUAAUUGCAGUUUUGGUCCCCCUAUUUUAACUGAAUCGUGAAAGUAGUCUUCCAUUUUGUUUCUCCCCAGUUUUGGUCCCCAAACAGAAUUUUAGUCUAAAACUUGAUGAAAUCACAAUAAGUUAUAAAAUUAUAAUUAAUUAAAUUAAAAAAAAAAUAUACAUAACUUCCGGAAAACUUGAUGCUCAAGUUCUCCGGUAACUACCGGAAAACUUUAAAACAACGUUUCCGGAGUACAACCUCUGUACCGGACUUCUCCGGAAAUUUUGAAAAAAAACUUACUCUCUGUUCCAGAAAUGUAAAAGUGUGGAAUGGUAAUUUAGGUUUUAUUAUUUAUACGAGGGCAAAAUAGUCAUUUCAUUCUAAAUUUGGGGGUAUAGGUAUAAUAAGGAGGGUACAAGGGAAAUUUUUCCUAUUAUUUUUUUGUUAAAUAACUCAAGCAAGUGGGCUUAGCCUCCUUGUUUUAAUUGAGUAGAAAAAGGUCACAUUGCUUACAAUAAUAAUAAAAUACGGAACAAUAUAAAGCGCCCUUUUCCAUCACCAUCAUCAUCAAAUACUUUUUAACAUAAAUAUUUUUUCAAUGGAAAAUAACAAUAAAUAUUGAACGGUAAAUAAAACCCAUAAUUAUUAAACUCAAUUUUAGUUCUUUUUAACCCACGUUUAACCUUAACCAAAUUUCCAUAUAAAUAUUAAUGGAUACCGUAUUUACUAUAAGUCGAAUUUAUAAAUUUAUACUGAAAACUAGAUGUAAAGACAAACAACAUAAAUAUUUUAUCUCUUGAAUUAGAUACGAACUAACAAUAUCAAGAUUUAAAAUUGAAACAACUUUAUCCACGUCAUUUAUUAUAAAAUAAUGCAUAAUUUAUGCAACGUACUAAGUUCCAGAACCCGUGCCCAUAAGUAGUUAGGUACACAUAUUUUAGCAUAUAAUAUAAAACCAGCUAGGAGGAUCUUUCCUUCUUUUUACUUUUAUAUUAUUUUUUGUUAUAUGAAGGAAUGUAGAAGAAGCAUAGUCCUCCUUCUUUGACCAUCAUAUGAAAUCAAUUUCCCUCGUGUUCUUCUAUUAUUCUUUUUUAUCAAAUAAACAUUUUAAUUUCAACAUUUGACUCCUCAUCGCAGCCUGUUUCUUGUAAUCAAAGGUAGCACUAUAAAUACUAACAUGUCUUCCCAUUCCACAUUCAUUUCCAUUUCCAUUAACACCAACCUCAAUACUAUUCUUUUUUUCUUAAAUCAUUCUUUGAUUCUUUCUCUCUGUUCUACAAUCCCUUUAUUAAGUUGUUUCGUUUCAAUUCAAAUUAACAACAUUCACUUGAAAAUAAGAACAAACGAGCUUGCAUUGAAGGUGUUUGAUAUUGGAGCUGUUAGAAAACAGCCAAAAUGGAAGGAACUGAUAUAUACAGAGCAACUAAUAGUUUAAGAGCGAGAAGUUCAACUGUUUGGAGAAACAGUGGUGUUGAGGUUUUCUCAAAGUCAUCUCGUGAAGAAGACGAUGAAGAAGCUCUUAAAUGGGCUGCACUUGAAAAACUACCUACUUACAACCGUUUGAGAAAAGGCUUGUUGACUACUUCUCAUGGUGCAGCUAAUGAAAUUGAUGUCACUGAUCUUGAUUUUCAAGAAAAACAGAAACUUUUGGAGAGAUUGGUUAAGGUUGCUGAAGAAGAUAAUGAAGGGUUUUUGUUGAAACUCAAGGAACGAGUUGAUAGGUAACUAUUAUAGAAGUAAUUUUGCUACAUUGAUUUCUUUUGUUAUUAUUGUUCUCUCAUAACUCAUCAUGCUUUGUGUUUGUGUUUCUAAUUAUAGAGUUGGACUUGAUCUUCCAACAAUUGAAGUUCGAUAUGAGCACUUGAAAAUUGAUGCUGAAGCUUUUGUGGGAAGUAGAGCUUUGCCUAGUUUCAUUAAUGCUGCUACUAAUGUUGUAGAGGUAAUUAAUUAAGGACAGAUCAGAAAUUAUAUAUGCUUCCUAAAAUAUGGUUGAUGGUUUUUCUGUGUUCUGUUUUGAUAUUGCAGUUGAGCCUCACAAGUCAUAAUCUUUCUUUGUUAUCAGGGUUUAUUGAAUGUGCUCCAUAUUGUCCCAAGCAAAAAGAGACAUGUGGCAAUUCUUAAAGAUGUUAGUGGUGUUAUCAAACCUCGAAGGAUGACACUACUUUUAGGUCCUCCUGGUUCAGGAAAGACCACACUACUUUUGGCUUUAUCAGGAAAGCUUGAUCCAAGUCUCCAGGUGAAUUAGAUCUCCCUUUAAUAUCUUCAUUUUCAUAUAACUCAUUAGUACAAAGAUAGUAAGCUUUAAUGUUUAAAAUUAUCUAAUUUGGUUACUUAUGUUUAAUUCAUACAGCUAUCUGGGAGUGUGACUUACAACGGACAUGGACUGAAUGAAUUUGUACCUCAAAGAACUGCUGCUUAUAUCAGCCAGCAUGAUGUUCAUAUCGGAGAAAUGACCGUGAGAGAAACCUUGGCUUUCUCCGCAAGGUGCCAAGGAGUUGGAUCACGUUAUGGUUAGUCAAUUUUUACCAGUUCAGAUUUACCACCUUGUGAAUGUUUUCAAAAUCUUAUUUGGUAUGUGGAUAAAGCUUAACUUGUUAUUAUUUUUUGGAUCCAUAGACAUGCUAUCUGAGUUGUCUAGAAGAGAGAAGGCAGCAAAUAUCAAGCCUGACCCAGAUAUUGAUGUCUACAUGAAGGUAUACAUAAAGAAGCUAUUAUCAAUCUUGAAAUAGUAAUUAGAUAUGCCUUACACUCUUUUCAUAUCUAAUUGUAUUUUGAUGUAUAAUAGGCAAUUGCAACUGAAGGUCAGAAGUAUAGCAUUUCAACGGAUUAUGUACUCAAGGUAAUACUAAAAUGCAGUUCAAUAAUUAGUCAUAUCCUCUCAUAAUAGUUAGAUCUUUAAAAAUGUUUGACUUUAAUAAUAAGUACUUAUCCUCUCAUAAUACUAAAAUGUUUGAUUAAAAUGAUUAAUUGCGAUUGGUUGACAAUGUAAAACUUUUUACAGUAAUAGUAUAUCAAAAUUAAACUCAUAUUUCAUUUUUGAUUGGUUGUUCCCAAUUAACAUUGACCUUCCAUAGGCUCCUAUCAUGAUUUUCAUGCCAUACAUAAUAAAGUUAUGUUUCACGUUGUAUGUUGAAUUUCUUCUUAUAAGCCAAAGGUAUUCAGGUUUAUGUUGUAUAAUUUUGCAGAUAUUGGGUUUGGAUAUAUGUGCUGAUACCAUGGUGGGAGAUGAAAUGUUGAGGGGUAUCUCUGGAGGACAAAGGAAGCGUGUCACUACAGGAGAGAUGUUGGUUGGACCUGCGAAUGCAUUGUUCAUGGAUGAGAUAUCUACCGGACUUGACAGCUCCACAACUUUUCAGAUCGUGAGCUCCCUGAGGCAAUAUGUUCACAUUAUGAAUGGCACUGCAGUUAUAUCAUUGCUCCAGCCAGCACCUGAGACUUACGAUCUUUUUGAUGACAUUAUCUUAAUCUCUGAUGGCCAAGUUGUGUACCAUGGCCCCCGUGAAUAUGUUCUCGACUUUUUUGAAUCAAUGGGUUUCAAAUGUCCUGAUAGGAAAGGUGUUGCUGAUUUUCUUCAAGAAGUAACUUCAAGAAAGGAUCAAGCACAGUACUGGGUGCGCAGAGACCAACCAUACAGAUUUGUAACUGUUACUCAAUUUGCUGAGGCAUUUCAAUCAUUCCAUAUUGGUAGGAAACUUACUGAGGAGCUUUCUGUUCCAUUCGACAAGACGAAAAGCCAUCCAGCUGCUUUAACCACCAAAGAGUAUGGUCUUAACAAGAAGGAGCUCUUAAAGGCUAACUUUUCAAGAGAGUAUUUGCUCAUGAAAAGGAAUUCAUUUGUUUACAUCUUCAAGCUAACUCAGGUUGGGACUCUUUAUGUAAAUAAGUUAACAGAUACUCUUUUUCAUUUAUGCAUUCAUAAUUAUGAUAUUUUUUACUCAACAUUUUUCCCUUGAUGUUUUGUUUUUCAGCUUUUUAUCAUGGCAUUGAUAGCAAUGACACUGUUUUUUCGGACUGAGAUGCAUCGCAAUAAUCAGGACGAUGCGGGUGUUUAUGCUGGUGCUUUGUUUUUCACACUAGUGACGAUUAUGUUCAAUGGAAUGUCCGAGAUUUCUAUGACCAUUGCUAAGCUUCCUGUUUUCUACAAGCAAAGAGACCUUCUCUUUUAUCCCUCAUGGGCAUAUGCUAUUCCUUCAUGGAUUCUCAAGAUUCCUGUUACAAUGGUUGAAGUUGCUCUUUGGGUGUUUCUCACAUACUAUGUUAUUGGAUUUGAUCCAAAUAUUGGGAGGUAAAAGAAGUUGCUUUUAUUCGCAUUUGAGGAUGUGAUAUUGAAUUCUACUUAUACUAACUAGUUUGCAUUUGCAUGUUACUUAUGAUGUGAUGUGUUGAAUUUUGGGCAGGUUUUUCAAGCAGUUCCUUAUACUGUUUUUCACGAGUCAGAUGGCUUCUGGAUUGUUCCGAGCCAUCGCAGCAUUAGGUAGAAACAUGAUUGUAGCAAACACAUUUGGGUCCUUUGCAGUUCUCACACUUCUUGCAUUGGGUGGCUUCAUUCUCUCAAGAAGUAAGUUAAAUUCACUAACACAUUUUAAUUUUAACCAAAAAUAAAUAAAUGUUGUAUUUUUUUUCUUUGCAAUAGAAAAAGAUGUUGUUAAAUUUAUUUUAUUUAUUGUAAUGAAAUGAAACCUUAACUAAUUAAUGCUUCUGGAAUUUUAUUUCUAAUGUAACAGAGGAUAUCAAAAGCUGGUGGAUUUGGGGUUACUGGAUCUCACCUUUGAUGUAUGGGCAGAAUGCUUUGAUGGCCAAUGAAUUUCUUGGGAACAAUUGGCACAAUGUAAUUUCUUGAGCUUGCUUGCAACUUUAUAUUUCAUCUACUUUUGAUCGAGAAUAUUACAAGCCUAAUCUAUUUUAUACUUAAUUAUAGGCUACUUUUGAUUUGGGAAAAUUAUAUCUCGACAACCGUGGGUUCUUCCCACAUGCAUAUUGGUAUUGGAUAGGCAUUGGGGGAUUGGUUGGUUUUGUGUUCCUUUUCAAUGCAUUGUUUGGAGUGGCUCUUGCUGUACUGGGCCCAUUUGAUAAACCUCAAGCUACAAUAACUGAAGAUUCAGAAGAAGUUGUUGAAGAAGUUGAAUUACCACGCAUAGGUGAGCUAUUUUGAUUAUAUGCACUUCAUGCAUGAGCUAUUUUGAUUAUAUGCACAUCAUGCAUAGAGUAACUCAUCAUAUAGCUUUAGUAGCUGAACAUUUUCUCAAUUAUCUUUCAGAAAGUUCAGGAAGAGGCGAUUCUGUUACAGAGUCCAGCCACGGAAAGAAAAAGGGAAUGGUUCUUCCAUUUGAACCACACUCUAUCACUUUUGAUGAUAUUGUAUACUCUGUUGACAUGCCAGCGG